AACAUUACUCUUCCCAUCCAUCUGGGGAGUGGAAGACUGGCUAACUUCUCCAUGACGCAUUUUUGCCUCUGAACAUGGCUGUGAACUAGAUUCAUAAGUGUUAGAUGAACUCACCAAAACAGGUUGAGAAGAUUGUAGGGUUGAUGAAGGUGCAUGAGAAGAUUGGACUGUUGAUGAAGGUGCAUGAGCUGUCAAAGAAGCAGAACCAGUAGCAGCUGCUUCACUUACAGUUCGACCAGCCUCCCUUACAAUGUUCAAACCAAGUAACUCAUCCAAAUUAUUCUCGGAAGCACUUGCUGCAAUUGAGUUUUUUCUAGAUCCUAGGUCCA
rnacentral:lncRNA from 1 species